CCUACGGGUGGCUGCAGUGGGGAAUAUUGGACAAUGGGCGAAAGCCUGAUCCAGCCAUGCCGCGUGUGUGAAGAAGGCCUUCGGGUUGUAAAGCACUUUCAGUGGGGAAGAAAGCCUUGGGGCUAAUACCCUCGAGGAAGGACAUCACCCACAGAAGAAGCACCGGCUAACUCCGUGCCAGCAGCCGCGGUAAUACGGAGGGUGCGAGCGUUAAUCGGAAUUACUGGGCGUAAAGCGCGCGUAGGCGGUCUGAUAAGCCGGUUGUGAAAGCCCCGGGCUCAACCUGGGAACGGCAUCCGGAACUGUCAGGCUAGAGUGCAGGAGAGGAAAGUAGAAUUCCCGGUGUAGCGGUGAAAUGCGUAGAGAUCGGGAGGAAUACCAGUGGCGAAGGCGGCCUUCUGGACUGACACUGACGCUGAGGUGCGAAAGCGUGGGUAGCAAACAGGAUUAGAUACCCCGGUAGUC
rnacentral:rRNA from 1 species